AGGUUUAAUAUAGUUUUAUAUUAAUUAAAAGGGAAUCAAGUUUAACUCUUGAACGGUCCCGCCGCUGUAAUUGGUUAGUUUUUCUAAUUUAUGCCACUGUUGCUUUGUAAUGGGAAGGUUUAGAAAAAUGCUCUUAGCCUUAAGUCAGAAGACCUGCCUUGUAUUUUAA
rnacentral:ncRNA from 1 species